ACAAACCGAGUCCCAGAUUGGCCAGGCGGAGGUCCCACGCUGGCGUCACCACUCGAGGGACGAGGCGCCGCGCGGUCACGUGGAUAUCUGAAUUGCGCGUUAAUCACCUCAGUAAUUGAACACCGGUGUCAUUAGUUUGUGUAGUGGUCGUUAAUUGUACUUUGCAGUAGUGCAGGCAAAGGAAGCGUUAGACUCUCUAGCUUCCAUGGAGCUGACUUUGCCGUGGGUACUGAGCGCUGGCAGCAGGGAGUGUGGUGCUGGAGGCCUGGUGUUCCCUGUCGUGAGUUACUCCGUGGCGACGCCGGACAGCAGUAGCAGCGAGAACAAGCCAGCGCCAAGUACACGAGUUGGGACGAAAAGAUGCCGUGACGCAGUAUGCCUCUGCUGAAUCUGCUCUCGUGGACAGUGAUCUGCCGCAAGAGGGAGGAUGUACGUGAGUUUUGUCCUGCAGCGGAAUUCCGGACAACGCAGGUGUUUGGGAGAGUGGAUGAUCAGCCAGGACUGAGUGGAAGCUGCUGACUCUCAGGAGUGACCUGUGUGGUGCAGGACUGUAGUGGUUAUGCAGUCUCUUGUUUUAACGAGAGAGACAUUGUGGAGGAGGUUGGCAAGUGCUCUCAACACAUGUGACGGACCGGCGCCAUGGUAACUGUGACCGUGGCCAGGAAGUCUCUUGUGGUACACUGCAAUGUUGUGUUAUCAAGACUGUGUAUUGGUGCAACGCAUACAGUCGGAUCACUAAGCGUGUUGUAGUGAUGAAACUAUUGCGAGUGAUUAUUGAUCGUUCGAAAAAAAAACUAGUAAUAAUAAUUCGGUGCUUGAGUUACACCACCGCCAUAACCACCGCCACCACCGCCGCUACUAAGAGCUAAGUUUGUCAUCGCUAAAGUGGAGUGUUGUGGCGCGGUGAGUACCCAAACACUACCCAUUGUUCGUCUAUAAAGCUCGAUGGCAAUUGUGAACAGAAAUGGAAGAUGAGAGCAAGCCAGUGGAAUAUUAAACGAGAAUCUGGCGGGACACUGAGCCAGAAUCACGACCAAAAUAACUGUGCACGACCAGGACAUGGAACAUGAAAACCAAGGGAAAAUAUUCAGACAACAUGACGAAAGAUUGGUACAAAAUUCAUGUCAACACACACACGCACACACAUCUUCCUCCUCUGCAGCCUUCCCAUUCCCAACAUUCUCUCUCUCUCUCUCUCUCUCUCUCUCUCUCUCUCUCUCUCUCUCUCUCUCGUUUGUGAUAUGAAUCUAUAUUUUACUAAUCAGAGCCUGAGGACCUUUCCUUGUUUUCUUGUAUUAUUUAGUUUGUCGGCCACAGUUAUUUUAAGUUUAUCUUUAUCACUGCGAAUUCCAUUACGUCUUGUUCUAACUUUCCAUUUGUGUUCGUAAUUGUUAACAAGCAAUGUUUCUUCACUAAAAAAAUUUUUAC